CGAGGAUUCCCCUAGUAACGGCGAGUGAACGGGGAAAAGCCCAGCGCUGAAUCCAUCGGCCACUGGUCGCUUGGAGCUGUAGCGUAUAGGUGCGGCUGUCUGGCCGUUCCGCUUACCCAAAGUCCCCUUGAGCGGGGCUAUUGUCCAUAGAAGGUGCUAGACCUGUACGGGUGGCGGGACAGUCGGUUGGUUGCUCCUUGGAGUCGGGUUGCCUGGGAUCGCAGCCCAAAGUUGGUGGUAGACCUCAUCUAAGGCUAAAUAUGGCCACGAAACCGAUAGCAAACAAGUACCGUGAGGGAAAGUUGCAAAGAACUUUGAAGAGAGAGUUCAAGAGGGCGUGAAACCGCUGAGAUUGAAACGGAUAGAGUUGACGAAACUCGGCUGCAUUCAUUCGGUCGGCUUAGCGGCCCUGCGGCACUCGCUUCCUCGAUGAGGGCGGUGCCGUGGGUAGCUGUUGGGUGCUUGACCGGUGUAUUUGCGGCCGGUAUGCGCUGAGGGCCUUGCGGUCGCGUGUUGACAAGUGUGUAGUGGACCACUCCUUCCGGGCGUGGAACCCUCCUCGCUUUGAGGCAUGUCGGCCGUGAGGUUUCGAACGUAAUCGUGUCUCCGCUAUGGUGCACCGGCCUUGCUGAGCUUCUGUGGCUUCGGGACGUCGCAUGCGACGCCUUGUUGUCGGCAGUUGCGUGGCGGGGUGCGGGUGCGUCGAGGCGCGCAUCUCGGUGUGAACGUUGACCACCUAUCCGA
rnacentral:rRNA from 2 species